rnacentral:rRNA from 1 species
GACGAACGCUGGCGGCGUGCUUAACACAUGCAAGUCGAACGGAAAGGCCCUGCUUUUGUGGGGUGCUCGAGUGGCGAACGGGUGAGUAACACGUGAGUAACCUGCCCUUGACUUUGGGAUAACUUCAGGAAACUGGGGCUAAUACCGGAUAGGAGCUCUGGUGCAUGGUGGGGGGUGGGAAGGUUCGGCGGUUGGGGAUGGACUCGCGGCUUAUCAGCUUGUUGGUGGGGUAGUGGCUUACCAAGGCUUUGACGGGUAGCCGGCCUGAGAGGGUGACCGGCCACAUUGGGACUGAGAUACGGCCCAGACUCCUACGGGAGGCAGCAGUGGGGAAUAUUGCACAAUGGGCGGAAGCCUGAUGCAGCAACGCCGCGUGCGGGAUGACGGCCUUCGGGUUGUAAACCGCUUUCGCCUGUGACGAAGCGUGAGUGACGGUAAUGGGUAAAGAAGCACCGGCUAACUACGUG